rnacentral:lncRNA from 1 species
UCUGCCCGACCUAUCCGAGGAGCAACUGCACUCCCGCUCAUUCGACUUCCGGAGGAGUGAAGCUCCAGGUACACUUCUUUGAGUCCCCUAAGGUUGAAAGAAUGAGUCGAUACGGCAAAGUCGCUGCUUUUGCCCUUUCCGGUUAGGGUGUUGAGUUGAUACCUGUUAGAUACGUCUAUUUGAGUUCAACUGAAUGAGUUGAACAUAGUUCAACGAAUCCCUAUUCUGUUCUUUUUCAAGCUUUGAGUGAAACG